AAUGGGAUGCUCGAUUAAUGAGGUUAUUUUGAUAGAAUAAAAAAUGUGGUUGUUCCACUUCCAUUA
rnacentral:tRNA from 1 species